rnacentral:lncRNA from 1 species
UGCAACAGCGGGUGGAAUUUUUAGCACAAGCGAGGGAAGAGGUUGGAGCGACGAGAGGCGGGAGCGGAAAGGGCGCGGAGUCCGGGGAUGCAGCGCGCUCCACCGCCCAGCUCCAGGUGGCGCCUCUGACCACCCGCACCCCGCUGCGCCCAGGGAAGGGCCGAUGGCGCGCCGUCCUCCCUCCUCCCUUCGGGAAGCCUGCGACGUCCCAUCCCCUCCGACGCAGGCCCGGGAAAGGCUCAAAAGCACGAAGCAGGCACCCUCUCGUUAAAGGCACACAGUCCUCUCUUCUGCUCCACCUCCUGGGUCCUUAAAAUCGAGUCCUGAGUUCCAGAGGGGUCACUGCAAGGCAGCAGGGAAGGAAGAGGGUCACAGUUUCACUCUGUGAGUAUCAGACACCCAGGGCCAAGGCCCAGACUGGCCUCUGAAGCUACAGGUUAGAGUCUGGGUACAGGAAGCAGCCGAGAUGGUCCCUGAGAACAGACAGUCCCGGUCCCCCGGAGCAAGCUCCAUCCUCUGCAGAGCUGUGACGUCAGUGCCCCACAUCCUGGGGCAACGUGAAGUCCCUGAAGCUGUAGAAGGAGAUGUCACCAUGAUCCACCAGGGCAAAGAUCAGAGGGACAUCCCCACUCUGGUAAGAUAACCGCUUGAGGCUGCAGAGGUCUGGGACAGGCUC